UAUAGAGCUAUGAAGAGGAACUGGAAAUUACAGAGGACUUGUCUGCAGGCCUGAGUGUGAUUUUUCUUUGUCCUUCAAUGGGAGGCUUCAAUUCUCCUUCUGGUUGUGAAGAUCUGCUUGUAUAUAUAUGGGAAGGUUGGAAGGGGACUUUUGAAUCACGGCCUUCAAAUACUAGAAGGGAAGAAAGAAGCCCACACUGGCUACUGGAUCCUGCGCAUACAUUUCUUUUCCUUCUCAUUUCAGGAAGCUGAGAUGAAAGAACGUGAGUGAGCAGCAGAGAGGCAGCUAUCAGAGGCAGUGGGAAACUUGAAAUUGGUAGUUGAGAAAAUACACACCUACAAGUGACUUCAGUGACUGCACACCAACCUCUUGGGAAAACUCUGUUGGAGUGUUUUGUUUUUAACUUUUGUACAAUGUUUGGACCCAAUUAACACAGAAAGACAACCAAAUGGUCAGAGGACAUAUUUGCAGAGAGAGAGAGAAUUCACGCAAGAAAAAACAAAGUACUUUAAGAUUUACCAGUGACCAAAAACUAUGACUCGACUGCUGGGCAGACUGUGUGGAAAUUCGGUUCACACAAACUUUUCUAGGGGUGGUCAUCAUCAUCCUUAGGAAAGUGCAUUCUGGUGGCAUCAAUCACAUCCUUAAAAAGGACUGUGCCUGUUUAUAAGCCCAGUUGUUCCUUCCCUGUGAAAUAUGGUAAGGAUAUUAGUACACGGAGAAUAGAGAUUUAUGAUAAGUGAUGCUCAAUGAAGGAUGAUUUAAGGACAUACUGAGAGUAGGUAAGGAAAUUGUCAACUUAGAACCCAGCAGGCAUUAAAUAAUAGAUGAGGAAUCAAUAUAGCAACAGUUUUUUUUUAAUCAUACUGUACUUUUAUAACCAUGUGAAAUGUGUUUUCUAUCUAUGGAUAUGUUGCGUAAGGGUACAGGUGUGAGGGUAACCAGAACAUGGCAGAUUAUUUAAAAUCAUCCUGAAAAUGGCACUUUACCUGAUAAAAGUGAUUCUAAACCAUAGAAAAAUGAUGGAAGACACAGAAGAGCAGCAGAGGUAGGUAGAGAACUACUGCAGGUGCCAGGUAAGGAGCCUUCUUCCCAGCAGUUGCAGAAUCCUUCAGCACUGAUGCAAAUGAUAUCGUGGUCCUUAGACUCCUUAAACAUACGGUUUCUCAUGUGUUGGCUUUUUCAGAUCACCACUUCUGAAAGAAAGGCUCAUGAGAACUGGGUAAGCUUUUUUUUUUCUUUCCUUGCUUUUGGGCAUAGUCUGCCAGGUCAGGACGUGGAUGUAUUUUUCUCCCCACAGCUCUGUGUUUAAGCCUUGCAGAGGGAGAUGGAAGAGAAGGCUGCCUACGAGCAGCACAGACAGGAAAUGAUUGAAAAACAGAGUGCUGGAGAGACACAUUAGUCAGGAGCCAGCUAGUGGACGACUAGGCCUACAGAAUCCUCCAUGGAGAGCCCUUUCCCAGUUCCCCUGCAGGACUUCAGGAAUUCACAUCUCUCCAGAGCUCUUUGUGCCCAUGGGUUGUACCUCCAGAGUGGAGAAGACCCUUUGUUAGGAAGGGAGGCAGAGGGGGACAAGAGGGUCUUACAGGUCGAGCUGGGAUCAAUUUCCACUCCGCCUCUGGCAAGCUGUGUGACCCUGGGUGAAUUUUUUCCUUCCUCUGGGAUCCUCUUUUCUUCGAUUUAGCACAGAGUAGCCACACUGACCUUGCAGCAUCCUGAGAAUCAGAGAUAGGACAUGAAAGGCCUGUAAAAGUUCUCCCAAGAGUAGCUGUGAUUCGUGUAUGAAUAAUGGGCUUUUCAUUCCUCCUUUUGUCUGUGUUCAUCACAUGCAAGGAACUAACUUCAGUGAUGGUGAUGAGGGAGAGAUGGGAGUAUACCUGGGCUAGACACCGUGUAUCUGGAAUAUGCUUUUUUACUACUGUGUAAUGACUCUGUCUUCCCUGGAGCAGGACCCAGAGUGCCUACAUCUAUAGACAGACACAUUGGCAUGUGGUGACAGCAGGUUAACCUCAUGGCUUCCCUUCACAUCCCAGCUGUGCUCAGGACUCGUAGAAGGGAGAUUUUGGGCACUGACACUGCUAUU